rnacentral:rRNA from 1 species
GACGAACGCUGGCGGCGUGCCUAAUACAUGCAAGUUGAGCGCUGAAGGUUGGUACUUGUACCAACUGGAUGAGCAGCGAACGGGUGAGUAACGCGUGAGGAAUCUGCCUUUGAGCGGGGGACAACAUUUGGAAACGAAUGCUAAUACCGCAUAAAAACUUUAAACACAAGUUUUAAGUUUGAAAGAUGCAAUUGCAUCACUCAAAGAUGAUCCCGCGUUGUAUUAGCUAGUUGGUGAGGUAAAGGCUCACCAAGGCGAUGAUACAUAGCCGACCUGAGAGGGUGAUCGGCCACAUUGGGACUGAGACACGGCCCAAACUCCUACGGGAGGCAGCAGUAGGGAGUCUUCGGCAAUGGACGAAAGUCUGACCGAGCAACGCCGCGUGAGUGAAGAAGGUUUUCGGAUCGUAAAACUCUGUUGGUAGAGAAGAACGUUGGUGAGAGUGGAAAGCUCAUCAAGUGACGGUAACUACCCAGAAAGGGACGGCUAACUACGUG